GAUGAACGCUGGCGGCGUGCCUAAUACAUGCAAGUCGAGCGAACAGAUAAGGAGCUUGCUCCUUUGAAGUUAGCGGCGGACGGGUGAGUAACACGUGGGUAACCUACCUAUAAGACUGGGAUAACUUCGGGAAACCGGAGCUAAUACCGGAUAACAUUUAGAACCGCAUGGUCCUAAAGUGAAAGAUGGUUUUGCUAUCACUUAUAGAUGGACCCGCGCCGUAUUAGCUAGUUGGUAAGGUAACGGCUUACCAAGGCGACGAUACGUAGCCGACCUGAGAGGGUGAUCGGCCACACUGGAACUGAGACACGGUCCAGACUCCUACGGGAGGCAGCAGUAGGGAAUCUUCCGCAAUGGGCGAAAGCCUGACGGAGCAACGCCGCGUGAGUGAUGAAGGGUUUCGGCUCGUAAAACUCUGUUAUUAGGGAAGAACAAAUGUGUAAGUAACUGUGCACAUCUUGACGGUACCUAAUCAGAAAGCCACGGCUAACUACGUGCCAGCAGCCGCGGUAAUACGUAGGUGGCAAGCGUUAUCCGGAAUUAUUGGGCGUAAAGCGCGCGUAGGCGGUUUCUUAAGUCUGAUGUGAAAGCCCACGGCUCAACCGUGGAGGGUCAUUGGAAACUGGGAAACUUGAGUGCAGAAGAGGAAAGUGGAAUUCCAUGUGUAGCGGUGAAAUGCGCAGAGAUAUGGAGGAACACCAGUGGCGAAGGCGACUUUCUGGUCUGUAACUGACGCUGAUGUGCGAAAGCGUGGGGAUCAAACAGGAUUAGAUACCCUGGUAGUCCACGCCGUAAACGAUGAGUGCUAAGUGUUAGGGGGUUUCCGCCCCUUAGUGCUGCAGCUAACGCAUUAAGCACUCCGCCUGGGGAGUACGACCGCAAGGUUGAAACUCAAAGGAAUUGACGGGGACCCGCACAAGCGGUGGAGCAUGUGGUUUAAUUCGAAGCAACGCGAAGAACCUUACCAAAUCUUGACAUCCUUUGAAAACUCUAGAGAUAGAGCCUUCCCCUUCGGGGGACAAAGUGACAGGUGGUGCAUGGUUGUCGUCAGCUCGUGUCGUGAGAUGUUGGGUUAAGUCCCGCAACGAGCGCAACCCUUAAGCUUAGUUGCCAUCAUUAAGUUGGGCACUCUAGGUUGACUGCCGGUGACAAACCGGAGGAAGGUGGGGAUGACGUCAAAUCAUCAUGCCCCUUAUGAUUUGGGCUACACACGUGCUACAAUGGACAAUACAAAGGGCAGCUAAACCGCGAGGUCAUGCAAAUCCCAUAAAGUUGUUCUCAGUUCGGAUCGUAGUCUGCAACUCGACUACAUGAAGCUGGAAUCGCUAGUAAUCGUAGAUCAGCAUGCUACGGUGAAUACGUUCCCGGGUCU
rnacentral:rRNA from 1 species